GACGAACGCUGGCGGCGUGCUUAACACAUGCAAGUCGAACGAGACGAUUGGAAGCCUGCUUUUAAAAGUCGAGUGGCAAACGGGUGAGUAACGCGUAGACAACCUGCCUUUGAGAUGGGGACAACAGUUCGAAAGGACUGCUAAUACCGAAUGUUGUAUAUUUUCCACAUGGAAGAUAUAUUAAAGAUGGCCUCUAUUUAUAAGCUAUCGCUCAAAGAUGGGUCUGCGUCUGAUUAGCUGGUUGGUGGGGUAACGGCCUACCAAGGCGACGAUCAGUAGCCGGUCUGAGAGGAUGAACGGCCACAUUGGGACUGAGACACGGCCCAGACUGCUACGGGAGGCAGCAGUGGGGGAUCUUCCACAAUGGACGAAAGUCUGAUGGAGCAACGCCGCGUGAGUGAAGAAGGGUUUCGGCUCGUAAAGCUCUGUUGUCGGGGACGAAUGUGCAGUAUUUGAAUAAAGUACUGUAAUGACGGUACCUGACGAGGAAGCCACGGCUAACUACGUGCCAGCAGCCGCAGUAA
rnacentral:rRNA from 1 species